rnacentral:lncRNA from 1 species
AGAGGAAGAGGCAUGCUACCAGACUGGGGUUUUUUUGUGGUUGCAAGAAUGAAGAAGAAGCUUACUCGACAAGGGAAGAGAACGGCAUAAUAAUAUAAUUUGACGCUGCCCUUAUUGACAACUGGCCCCUGCAAAGUAAUGUAAAAUCAUAAAGCGGUCCUCCAAUCUCUCCAUGAGUGCCACAUCAUCGCACUAUUUCCAAUACUUCCCUUGUCAUAUCACGGUUUCUUUAGAGGUGUGGGUUCAUUAGUGAUACAAAUACAUAAUUUCAUUCCACGAAUUUAAACACAUAAUUUUAUUUCAAAUAUAUACAAGCCAUAGCAUUUAAACAAGUGAUACAAACAUAGGAAGGUCCGGUCUGUUAAAUAGUAGUCAUACAAGAUGAUCCGAUGAACACAAAUAGACAGAUGCAGUUGUUAGUAUUCAUACACAGGAAGGUCCCUUCUGCAAAACAUCAAUACACCAAAAAUUCGCCAACUAGUUCCACUCCCUCAUCAUUACUCUAUCUUGGAACUGCAAUCUCUGCCUCAUCCAUAACUUCCCCCUUCUCUAUCUAUUACGAGUCCUCCAUUGUUCUCCCUCUACCUUCCUCUUUGACUGUCUAGUCAAUCUCUCCUCAAACAUGGGUCAAUCCUGG